rnacentral:tmRNA from 1 species
GGGGUUGACCGGUAUUGACAGCGGGUAGAAGUGGUUUGUAAGCAUGCAGUGCGUUGUCGGUUGGCACUAUAAUCUCAAACGUCAAAACAAUAACUGGCAAUAACAAUUACGCUCUUGCUGCUUGAUCGAAGUAUAGUAGAUCCUUAGCUUAAUCUCGGCACAGGUGCCGAGACAAGACAUCGCCCGGAAGCUGUGGCUUCGAAGCGUUCCGAUAUGGCGGUGCAGGUAAAUCGGAGAUAGGGCGGAAGAGGCUUCGGCUUCCGUCCGAAACUAAGAAGAUAAGGUAGAGGUUGGUGGCUUCGGUCUUGCCUUUACCCGACAACCAAGGCGAAGAUAAGCAUGUAGAAAGCAGGUUCCUUCCUCGUUUGGACGAGGGUUCGAGUCCCUCCAACUCCACAA